rnacentral:rRNA from 1 species
GAUCCUGGCUCAGGAUGAACGCUAGCUACAGGCUUAACACAUGCAAGUCGAGGGGAAACGACAUCGAAAGCUUGCUUUUGAUGGGCGUCGACCGGCGCACGGGUGAGUAACGCGUAUCCAACCUGCCCACCACUUGGGGAUAACCUUGCGAAAGUAAGACUAAUACCCGAUGAUAUCCCUAGAAGACAUCUGAAAGGGAUUAAAGAUUUUAUCGGUGAUGGAUGGGGAUGCGUCUGAUUAGCUUGUUGGCGGGGUAACGGCCCACCAAGGCUACGAUCAGUAGGGGUUCUGAGAGGAAGGUCCCCCACAUUGGAACUGAGACACGGUCCAAACUCCUACGGGAGGCAGCAGUGAGGAAUAUUGGUCAAUGGGCGAGAGCCUGAACCAGCCAAGUAGCGUGCAGGAUGACGGCCCUAUGGGUUGUAAACUGCUUUUAUAAGGGAAUAAAGUGGGUCACGUGUGACUUUUUGCAUGUACCUUAUGAAUAAGGACCGGCUAAUUCCGUG